rnacentral:rRNA from 1 species
AGAGGACCGGAGUGGACGAACCUCUGGUGUUCCGGUUGUCACGCCAGUGGCAUUGCCGGGUAGCUAUGUUCGGAAAAGAUAACCGCUGAAAGCAUCUAAGCGGGAAACUUGCCUCAAGAUGAGAUCUCACUGGGAACUUGAUUCCCCUGAAGGGCCGUCGAAGACUACGACGUUGAUAGGCUGGGUGUGUAAGCGUUGUGAGGCGUUGAGCUAACCAGUACUAAUUGCCCGUGAGGCUUGACCAUAUAACACCCAAACA